rnacentral:rRNA from 1 species
CAGUAGCCACGGUAAUACGUAGGGGGCGAGCGUUGUCCGAAGUUACUGGGCGUAAAGCGCGCGUAGGCGGCUUCUUAAGUCUGAGGUGAAAGGUUCAACGCUUAACGUGAACAGUGCCUUGGAUACUGGGGAGCUUGAGUAUGGGAGAGGGCAGUGGAAUGGCUGGUGUAGCGGUGAAAUGCGUAGAUAUCAGUCGGAACACCCAUGGCGAAGGCAGCUGCCUGGCCUAAUACUGACGCUGAGGUGCGAAAGCGUGGGGAGCGAACGGGAUUAGAUACCCCCGUAGUCCCUGUCUCUUAUA